AGGGCCACCGGAUCCACGCCGCGGGUCACCACCAGGUAAUCGCGAAUCACGAUGCCGUGCCGGUUCUC
rfam:Nocardia seriolae N-2927 DNA, contig: contig00027.